GGGAGAUGGUGGGGAAGAUGUUACCGAGAGGCACACUCUGGGGAACCCAACCUCCCCCCAAGAGGCUGGCGAAGAACGGGCAAAUUUAACCUCCUGGGAUCUAUCACACGGGUCAAUCACUGAAGAACUAUGGACGGAGGUUCACAACAUCGUACAGGAGGCGGUGACCAAAACCAUCCCAAAGAAGAAGAAAUGCAAGAAGGCAUUUGUGGUUGUCUGAGGAGGCCUUACAAAUAGCAGAGGAAAGAAGAGAAGCAGAAGUCUGAACUCCCAGCAUCAGAUCCACAGUCCAGUGUUUCAGGAUAGAGGCCAGAGGUGCGUGCUCUGCAUCCAUGACUCCCUACGAGGUCCAGGCUACGCCUUCCAAGUAAA
ensembl:lncRNA